UACGAAGGGGGCUAGCGUUGUUCGGAUUUACUGGGCGUAAAGAGCGCGCAGGCGGUCGUUCAAGUCGCGUGUGAAAGCCCCCGGCUCAACUGGGGAGGGUCACGCGAUACUGAUCGACUCGAAGGCAGGAGAGGGUAGUGGAAUUCCCGGUGUAGUGGUGAAAUGCGUAGAUAUCGGGAGGAACACCAGUGGCGAAGGCGACUACCUGGCCUGUUUCUUGACGCUGAGGCGCGAAAGCUAGGGGAGCAAACGGG
rnacentral:rRNA from 1 species